rnacentral:rRNA from 1 species
GGGUGAGAUCAUACUAGUUUUAAUGCACUGGGUCCCAUCGAAACUCCGUAGUUAAGCGCGCUUGGGCUAGAGUAGUACUGGGAUGGGUGACCUCCAGUGGUUCGACAAUUUCCAUUG